rnacentral:rRNA from 1 species
UACGUAGGGGGCGAGCGUUGUCCGGAGUUACUGGGCGUAAAGCGCACGCAGGCGGUCUGCUAAGUUUGGAGUGACAGUUGGUGGCUUAACUGCCAAAGUGCUUCGAAAACUGACAGACUUGAGGGCUUCAGAGGGACACGGAAUUCCGGGUGGAGUGGUGAAAUGCGUAGAGAUCCGGAGGAACACCAAAGGCGAAGGCAGUGUCCUGGGGAGUACCUGACGCCUCAGGUGCGAAAGCCAGGGGAGCGAACGGG